GUUCUACCAGCUUCCCAACCAAGUACAGGCUCUACAAGUCUCUCGUAGUCUUCAUCCUACUCACCGGCUGCGGGACAUGGACGCUUCACGCGGACACAGAACGCAGAAUACAGGCAUUUAAACAUAAAUGUCUCCGAAGACUGUUCUCCUAUACAGAGCACAAGACCAACGAGUACGUCCGGAACAUGACUGCAACAUUGGUUGGUCCACAAGAUCUCGAGCCCCUACUGGCGACCGUCAAACGACGAUAGUUUGCUUGGUUUUGACACGUCGCCAUGCACAAAUCUCUGUGCAAAAGUGUUUUUCCAUGAUGAUGAUGAUUUGCAUGUCCAAAGUAUUUAGUAUACUGUAACCUUAUUUUUAAUUGAAAGCGUCCACAUUUUGCAGAUCACAUGUUUUGUUUGGAAAGAAACAAUAGAAGUUUUCCAUUUUUAAUCAAGGGGCGUGCACCUUUGUUUCGCAUUAUAAUGGCAAAACAUAUAUUGUGUGAAAGGUUUGCAGAAUACAAUAUUUCCAACGAAAUCAAAGACACAUGUUCACCAAAAGUAAAAAGAUUAUGUCUUAGAGUGGACAAUACCGCCAUGUACGUUUCCGAAGCAGACCCUGUAAAACCUGGGGAUCAGAUGGAAUGGCAAUGUGAGAUGACAACAGAUGCCACGAGGGAUGAAUGCCUGUCAAAAGUGAACAGUCAAGAUAACAACAAUGCCAUGGCUAUGGAUUACGUAGCAGCUGGCAAUAGAAGCAAUAGCAGCCAAACGCCCUGCCCUCGCUGUCAGGCUGGGGAACCAGGUCACAUACAACACAUCACCAGCUGAUGGCAACAGACUGGCAACCAUCACCAGCUGAUGGCAACAGACUGGCAACCAUCACAAGCUGAUGGCAACAGACUGUCAACCAUCACCAGCUGAUGGCAACAGACUGGCAACUAUCACCAGCUGAUGGCAACAUACUGGAAACCAUCACCAGCUGAUGGCAACAGACUGGCAUCCGUCACCAGUUGAUGGCAACAGACUGGCAACUAUCACCAGCUGAUGGCAACAGACUGGCAUCCGUCACCAGCUGAUGGCAACAGACAGGCAACCAUCACCAGAUGAUGGCAACAGACUGGCAACCAUCACCAGCUGAUGGCAACAGACUUACAACUAUCACCUGCUGAUGGCAACAGACUGGCAACCAUCACCAGCUGAUGGCAACAGACUGGCAACUAUCACCAGCUGAUGGCAACAGACUGGCAACCAUCACCAGCUGAUGGCAACAGACUGGCAACCAUCACCAGCUGAUGGCAACAGACUGGCAACCAUCACCAGCUGAUGGCAACAGACUGGCAUCCAUCACCAGCUGAUGGCAACAGACUGGCAUCCAUCACCAGCUGAUGGCAACAGACUGGCAACCAUCACCAGCUGAUGGCAACAGACUGGCAACCAUCACCAGCUGAUGGCAACAGACUGGCAACCAUCACCAGCUGAUGGCAACAGACUGGCAUCCAUCACCAGCUUAUGGCAACAGACUGACAACCAUCACCAGCUGAUGGCAACAGACUGGCAACCAUCACCAGCUGAUGGCAACAGACUGGCAUUUGUAUUCUUUAAAGAUCUCAUUUGUGUUCACCUGAAUGUUGUGCUUUUAGUCAGGCUGAUUUGGCUGUGAAUGUGUUGUUAAAAUUGUUUUGUGCCAAUAUCAGGUUAGGUAUCAGUUUACUUGUACAGUCUUGUUGUAAAGUAUAUGGACCAUGACAUCUCUUACAUAAAAAAUACCAAUAUACUUUCAUUUUGGUGUAAUUUUUAAGAACAUGCAUUUGAAUUAUGUGCUACAGCAAUCAGGAUAUUGCUCAUCUCAUCACAUGUCCUGGUUUUUCAUAGCAUUUUUUUUAGGAAAAGUUGUGUUUGUAUUGUUAUCUGUCGAAAAAUUAAAAAAUUUUCAGUAGAGAAGGUUUUUAGCCAAUUUGCAGUUUUUCCUAUUCUAAUGUCUGGUUUUAUUAUAACAAAGUUUUGGAGCAUUUAUCUACAUUUCUGUACUAAUUAAAUUUAAAGUUCUUAUAUGUUCUCGCCUUGGACUGUAAAUGAGCAAUUUUUCAUUCCCUGUGAUCUACACAUUCCUGAGUUAUUUACCGUUGAAGAUACAGCCUACAAAGGGGUAGGGGGUAUAAGUAAUGUUUUUCUUUUCAAAGCUUCCUUUAACAUAUUUAAUUUAAUUUAUUUUAGGUCAUUGCGUUAUCUUAAUGUAUAUUUUGAUAAAAUCACUGACAUUAUACAUGGGCAUUGUACAUCCUUACCAAUAUGAUCUCCUUGUUUUGGAUUGUUUUACUCUUUAUCCACUUUGUCUUAUUUUUGCAUUAUUGAUCUCACGUCAUAUUUCUAAAGCUUGCCACCAAUGCAGUGCAUUUCACUUGAUUUGUUUGGUCUUGAGUGCACAACAUGCUAAUGGUUUACUGUUGGGGUUCCGUGAUAUGCGCCGCCCAACAGUCUCUACGUCAGUCUGUCUGUCCUAAACUUUUUCUUCAAACAACAUCCCCUGAAAAUCUGGGCAAACUUUUCCGAAACUUAAAAGGAAAGGAAUGUUCCUGUGGUGGUCUUCUAUGAAAAUUGUUUAAAUGGUUCCAGUUAAUGAUAUAUAAUUUCACGGAACUCAAUAAUGGAUUUAAGUAUUAGGUUUCUAAUAUCAUGUUGCUGUCCUUUACAAAAUCUGUUCAAAUUUUCCCCUGUGGUAAAUAUUGGCUUUGCCCCUGGGGUCACAAGAUUAUCAUAGAAUUGCAAAGGGAUAAUUUAAAAAAAUACUUGCAUGAAACAGCUAAGCCCAUUGCUUGUAUGUGUGUGAUGUAGUUGUGCUGUCUAGAGGUCCUCUUAAAAGUUUGUUCAAAAUAUCCUAUGGGGUCAAAAGAGGCCUUACCUUGGGGAACAGAAGUUUUACAUUGACACAUAAACAAGUGAAACCCGUUAAAAUCCUCUUCUGUUAACAGCAGAGACCAUGGCUUUGAUACUUAGUACGUUGCAUCAUUUGGAGGACCUCCAAAAGUUUGAUCAAAUAAUGACACUAGGGUUAAAGCUGACUGUGCCCAAGGGGCACAUCACAAAAUAACUUAUAACUCUUAUCUGCAACAACAAAGCCAAGAGCUUUAACAUUUUAGUAUGUAAAAUCAAAUACUAGUCCUAUAUAUAGUUUGUUAAUAUUAUGUAAUUGGCUUAAAAAUGGCCACAACCUGGUGUCACAUUUUUAUGCCCCUAAGAAGAGGGGGUAUAUUAGGUCAAAGGUCACUGUCACAAUAAGUGUGAAAUUCAUUUCUUAUCAAUAACUUGUAAACAAAUUGAUGGAUUGUCUUGAUACUUCACAUGUUCAUUGGCCUUGGACAGUAGAUAACCCCUUUUGAAAUUGGGGUCACUAGGUUAAAAGUCCAGGUAACUGUCAAAAUAAGUGUGAAAAUCGUAUCCAAUAAAUAAAUUGUAAACACAGUGACCGAUUGGCUUGAUACUUCCAUGUGCAUUGGCCUUCAACAGUAGAUUACCCCUAUUGAAAUUGGGGUCAAAGGUCACUGUCACAAUAAGUGUGAUAAUCGUUUCCGAUUAAUAACUCGUCAGUGAAUUGACCGAUUGUUUGAUACUUCCCAUGUUCAUUGGCCUUGGACAGUAGAUGACUCCUAUUGAAAUUGGGGUCAAAGGUCAUGGACACUGUCACAAUAAGUGUGAAAAUUGUUUCCGAUCAAUAACUCAUCAACAAAUUGACCGAUUGGCUUGAUACUUCAUAUGUGCAUUGGCCUUGGCCAGUAGAUUGCCCCAAUUGAAAUUCGGGUCACUAGUUCAAAUGUCAAGGUCACUGUGACAUUAAGUGUUUAAUUGGUUUCCUUUCGAUAUGUCAUCAAAGGAUUGAGUGAUGGGUGUCAAGGCCCUGUUUAAAGAGGAAUCUGUCUGCGUCUGCGGAGUUCUUGUUUAUAUAGCCUUUAUUAGCAAAAUAACCCAAUGCUUCAAUAUUUGGUAUGUAGCAUUAGAUAGUGGUCCUAAAUUGUUUUAUUUAUUCCGUUUUGGUAAACAUUGGCCACCUCCUCUGUAAAUUUGGGCGAGAUCUUUCUCAUAGUUACACUGUUGAAAGACAUAAAUUUUGAGAUGAUCAUAAAGUAAGAAAUCAGGGCUGAAACAAGUUUUUGCAGAAUUAUGGCUUUGUGUCUGUUGGUCCACUCCUCUUUAACUUCUGGUUGAAAUAUUAUACAAAUUUCACACUUGAAUAACCUUAAUGUGUUGAUGUUUGUGAAGAAAGAAUUUGCUUGCACCAGUUUUUGCAGAAAUAUGGCCCUUUUAGUCCUGUACUUGGUAUGUGGACCCGUUUGCAAAAUGUAGUUGAGGGCGUUUCUCAGUGUAAUUAAGUUUAUGGGUUUGUAGACAUGCACAAAAACCGAGGUGCUUGUCUGGCAUCAUGCCACGUUUUUGCUAUUAUCGAUUCAAAGAUGGCCGCCAUUGACAUAAUACAAUUUUUACUUUUAUUUACUGUAACAACAAUAUACAUUUAUAAUAAAUAUAUAUACUGACGAAAUAUAGUGUGUAGGAUAAAUUUAAGUUAUCAAUGUACCUUUUCAAAGUCAGAAUGACCUUGAAACGGCAUGUACAAGGUCAUUUUGUCAUUAAUACCGCUGAGUCCUUUGAUUCGUUGAUUUUCUGAAUUGACAGCUUCAAUUUUACUUAAAUGUAACGCUUAUUUUUGCAGUUUUAAAUUGUCAAAUGUUUAUUUGCUUAUGGUAUUUGUAUUAAAAUCUAUAAAAAUAUGCAAUAGAACCAUUCCUCUUUAUUGAGGGCUGAACGGAAAACUGUUGUAACUCACUUUUUUUUCAAAAAUCACUUUUUUGCUUUUUUCACUAUAUCUUCUACUAAUACAUAUGAACUAAACUUAUUAUUACCAAAUUCUUUGAAUAAAUGCCUAAAGCAUGGUUUUUGCAAAAGUGUUGUAACUUAAAUGGCCCAUUUCAGAAAGUGGAAAACUGUUGUAACAUGAGUUACAUACAGUUAUCCAUUAUCUUUUUUCCUACAAGGUAGAUUAUUCUUAACGGAAAACUGUACUUACUUAGCACUAUAGUUAUUACAUGCACUUUGUUUAUGAAUUUAAUGAUGUCAUAGCAUGAUGAUGAUGUCAUUAAACUUAAUAUUGCUUAACCUUGAAAGGCAGUAAAGAAUUUUCUCCUUAAAAUAUCCAAACAGCUAAGAUGCAAGUGAGUAAUAUAUUUAUUUAUUUAUUUAAUGUAACAAAAAAAAUAAAGAAAUAAAAAUUGUUUAUGCAUUUAUCUUUUAGCUUCUAAAAAUUAUAUCAGUGCAUACAAAUAAUAAUAUUUCUAUGCCCCCCUUUGAAGAAGAGGGGGUAUAUUGCUUUGCACAUGUCGGUCGGUCUGUCGGUCCGUCCACCAGGUGGUUUCCGGAUGAUAACUCAAGAACGCUUGGGGCUAGGAUCAUGAAACUUCAUAGGUACAUUGAUUAUGACUUGCAGAUGACCCCUAUUGAUUUUGAGGUCACUAGGUCAAAGGUCAAGGUCACGGUGACCCGAAAUAGUAAAAUGGUUUCCGGAUGAUAACUCAAGAACGCAUACGCCUAGGAUCAUGAAACUUCAUGGGUAGAUUGAUCAUGACUCGCAGAUGACCCCUAUCGAUUUUGAGGUCACUAGGUCAAAGGUCAAGGUCACGGUGACCCGAAAUAGUAAAAUGGUUUUCGGAUGAUAACUCAAGAAUGCAUAUGCCUAGGAUCAUGAAACUUCAUAGGUAGAUUGAUCAUGACUCGCAGAUGACCCCUAUUGAUUUUGAGGUCACAAGGUCAAAGGUCACGGUGACCCGAAAUAGUAAAAUGAUUUUCGGAUGAUAACUCAAGAACGCUUUUGCCUAGGAUCUUGACACUUCAUAGGUAGAUUGAUCGUGACUCGCAGAUGACCCCUAUUGAUUUUCAGGUCACUAGGUCAAAGGUCAAGGUCACAGUGACAAAAAUCGUAUUCACACAAUGGCUGCCACUACAACGGACAGCCCAUAUGGGGGGCAUGCAUGUUUUACAAACAGCCCUUGUUUUAUUUGUUAAAAAUAAUCAAACCACUGAAACCAGAAGCUGUUUGAGUUUAUAGAGGUCUCACUGAAAUUUUUAACAAUAAUUACAUUAAAUGAUACUAACAUUUUAAGUUUUGAUGCAAAACACUGAUUGCAAACGACAUUAUUCU